rnacentral:lncRNA from 1 species
CAUGCACUUUGAUUAACGAUCAACUCUUGAUCCUGAUCAUCUGGAUCAACUGUUGAUCCUGGAUAAUUGGAUCAACACUUGAUCCUAGAUCUGAUUUUUCUCUUCCCUUGCUUAGAUCUGGAUCUCCUCUUCCAUGGUAUAGAUCUACAUUAAGAUGUAGAUUAGCCCUCAACCCUUGAGAUAUGGAAGAGAGGACACCCAAGAACCUGGAAAGCCCAACUCGUUGGAUGUGAGAACCAGAUCUGC